UUCUUUCCCCUCUGACAUCUGUAAGGGUGAACGACGAUGAGAACCACCACUUACUGUGUUAGGGGAUUAUGACGUGCAGCAGCCAUGGCCAGGAAAGCACUCCAUACCCUGAGACUUCCUUUCCUUGCACUUCUCUCCUAUUAAUAUCUAAAAUAAUCCCUCACGUUAGCACAUAAUGAAAGCAGUCUCUCACUCGGCUAUUGCAUCUUCAGAUCUUCCCUUUUCCCUCGGGAGUCCUCAGCCUUCUCUUUCAGAUAACUUCAAGUGAUGGGGCCUGAAUGCAAGCAGACCAACGAGAGGAGCCCAGGCAUUUGGAAGUAGCAAUCAAGACUAGCAUGGGGGCCAGGUGCGGUGGCUCACGCCCGCAAUCCCAACACUUUGGGAGGCCGAGCCAGGCGGAUCACCUGUGGUUGGGAGUUUGAGACCAGCCUGGCCAACAUGUGAAACCUCGUCUCUACUAAAAAUACAAAAAUUAGCAGGGCAUGGUAGUACACGUCUAUAAUCCCACCUACUCGGGAGGUUGGAGCACAAGUAUCACUUGAACCUGGGAGGCGGUGGUUCCGGUGAGCGAAGAUCACUGAUUUUUCAUCAGUGUGUUUGAUCUCCUCCAUGCAAAUAUAGGAUUCUUUAUAGUCAUCUUCAUGUCUUGUUCAUUUCUCUUCCCCAGCAGCCAAGGCAGUACCUGGCACUUACAACCAAAUGCACUCUAGCCUGGUUGACAGAGCAAGACUCUGUCUCAAAAAAACAAACAAACAAACAAACUAGCAUGGAGAGGGACACAAGAGAGAAAUGUUUAUGGUCCUUGCCUUACCCUAAAUUACUGUGCAACCUUUUGGCAAGUCACUUCCUCUGUAUUCUGAGUUUCUUUAUCUAUUCAAUUGGGUUCUUAGAUUUGGUGGUGUCUAACGCUCUCCCAGUUUUUCAGUUUGAUGUUACAUUCUACCCAGUGACCAAAUUCAUAUUCCAGAAGCCUAGUAUGCUAUGUCAUACCGCAGAUCUUGUAAACGUUCCUGAUAUGGUUUGGCUGUGUCCCCACCCAGAUCUCAUCUUGAAUUGCAGUUCCCAUAAUCCACACAUGUCACGGGAGGGACCAGGUGGAGCUAAUUGAACCAUGGGGGCGAUUUCCCCCCUCCUGUUCUUGUGAUAGUGAGUUAGUUCUCAUGAGAUCUGAUGGUUUUAUAAGGGUCUCUCCCCUUCACUGGGCACUCAUUCUUCUGCCUCCUGUUGCCACAUGAAGAAGGACAUGUUUGCUUCCCCUUCUGCCAUGAUUGUAAGUUUCCUGAGGCCUCCCAGCCAUGCUGAACUGAGAGUCAAUUAAACUUUUUUCCUUUAUAAAUUU